CGGAGUCUGGGGGCUCGCUCCCAAUAAGUCCAGAUUUUCUCCAUUUAGCGAAUCUCAUCCCAAUGGUCUCUUCUAAAGCUCACGAUUUCCACCCGUGGAGCCACAGUGCAGCAUGAAAUGAUGAAAUGAAGCAGGGCUGGACGUUCAGGUGGAAGGAGCACACCUCGCUCCUGUGCCCACUGCAGGCACAGUGGGAGAGGGGCAGGGCUCGGAGCUGGCAUCUGAGCAGCACCCAGACGUCACCGCCGAGCCAGGCACUGUGCCUUCAUUACCUGCAAUUAUCACAGCAGCUUUUCACAGAAUCAAAGGCUUCUCCUGCCUGCUGAAGACACUUUGGUAUGACACGAUGCAUCAUAUCAUGAGGAAUAAUAAAUGAACAUCGUUGUGCUCA
rnacentral:lncRNA from 1 species